GAUGAACGCUGGCGGCGUGCCUAAUACAUGCAAGUCGAACGCACAGACGAUGAGGUUGCUCCUCUCACGUUAGCCGCGGAGGUGUGAAUGACAGGUUGACAACCAGCCUAUCUGCCUGGUAUCGCUUCGUGACUCUGGGGAACAUAACGUAAAAUAUCUUAAACCUCAUUAUUCAAUGGUAAUAGACUGUUUUAUGGUAUUUCAUCACUGCCACAGCGCCGAAUUAGCUAGUUGGUAAGGUAACGGCUUACCUAGGCCACGAUGCGUAGCCGACCUGAGAGGGUGAUCGGCCACACUGGAACUGAGACACGGCCCAGACUCCUACGGGAGGCAGCAGUAGGGAAUCUUCCGCAAUGGGCGAAAGCCUGACGGAGCAACGCCGCGUGAGUGAUGAAGGUCUUCGGAUCGUAAAACUCUGUUAUUAGGGAAGAACAAAUGUGUAAGUAAAUAUGCACGUCUGUACGGUACCUAAUCAGAAAGCCACGGCUAACUACGUG
rnacentral:rRNA from 1 species